rnacentral:snRNA from 1 species
ACUUUGGGCGAUCUGGCUGCGACAUCUGUCACCCCAUUGAUCGCCAGGGUUGAUUCGGCUGAUCUGGCUGGCUAGGCGGGUGUCCCCUUCCUCCCUCACCGCUCCAUGUGCGUCCCUCCUGAAGCUGCGCGCUCGGUCGAAGAGGACGACCUUCCCCGCUAGAGGAGGACCGUUCUUCGGUCAAGGGUAUACGAGUAGCUGCGCUCCCCUGCUAGAACCUCCAAACAAGCUCUCAAGGUCCUCUUCAACUUUAAGGCGGAAGCUGCUGAUGGCUGCUCAUUGCUUAUUUGGAGGACAGUGGUUUAUUC